UACGAAGGGGGCUAGCGUUGCUCGGAAUUACUGGGCGUAAAGCGCACGUAGGCGGAUUGUUAAGUCGGGGGUGAAAUCCUGGAGCUCAACUCCAGAACUGCCUUCGAUACUGGCGAUCUCGAGUUCGGGAGAGGUGAGUGGAACUGCGAGUGUAGAGGUGAAAUUCGUAGAUAUUCGCAAGAACACCAGUGGCGAAGGCGGCUCACUGGCCCGAUACUGACGCUGAGGUGCGAAAGCGUGGGUAGCGAACAGG
rnacentral:rRNA from 1 species